rnacentral:rRNA from 1 species
UACGUAGGGCGCAAGCGUUGUCCGGAAUUAUUGGGCGUAAAGAGCUCGUAGGCGGCUUGUCACGUCGAUUGUGAAAGCCCGAGGCUUAACCUCGGGUCUGCAGUCGAUACGGGCUAGCUAGAGUGUGGUAGGGGAGAUCGGAAUUCCUGGUGUAGCGGUGAAAUGCGCAGAUAUCAGGAGGAACACCGGUGGCGAAGGCAGAUCUCUGGGCCGUAACUGACGCUGAGGAGCGAAAGCGUGGGGAGCGAACAGG